rnacentral:rRNA from 1 species
UACAGAGGGGGCGAGCGUUGUUCGGAAUUACUGGGCGUAAAGGGCGCGUAGGCGGCUUGCUAAGUCAGACGUGAAAUCCCUCAGCUUAACUGGGGAACUGCGUCUGAUACUGGAUGGCUUGAGUUUGGGAGAGGGAUGCGGAAUUCCAGGUGUAGCGGUGAAAUGCGUAGAUAUCUGGAGGAACACCGGUGGCGAAGGCGGCAUCCUGGACCAACACUGACACUGAGGAGCGAAAGCCAGGGGAGCAAACGGG